GCACUGCUGACGAGUCCCAAACAGGACGAAACACAACUGUCCAGCAC
rnacentral:hammerhead_ribozyme from 1 species